UAAACAGUAAAACUAGGCAUGAAAAUAUCAACGAUAUACGAAUAAACCAUUCAAAUAUUAAAACUACUGAAUUCCAUAAAGAACAAUAUCAUUGAGUUAAUACAAAAACAAAAUAUCAUAACAGCAAAACGAGAGAGAAAAUCCGAAACUACUCUCUUAAAUCUGAUUAAAAACAACAAGGAAAGGAAAAACAAAACUAAGAUCGAUCGAUCGAUGAUGUCUGAAAACACACACUACUUAGAUCUCUGUCUCAUCUUUCGGCGCUUCCUCUUCAAUCUCCUCAUACGCUUCUUCUUCCACUGCACAAAGCAGAAAAUUACAAUUAAACCAAAAACAUUACAACAAUAGAAGAAUGAGAAAACAAAACGAGAUAGUAAAGGAUCUAACCUUGGCUCUCAUGGUUGUUGAAAACGGAAGUGAACUUUGUUGAGAAAAAACCCUAGAUGAGACUGCGCAGAAGUAACUGCGAUUAGGAAGAGAGUCAAGAUGGGUUUCGGGAUUUUAUAGUGACUCGUAAACCCUAGAAAAUAGAAUGGGUUGGGCUUUAUUUUUGAGCCCG
rnacentral:lncRNA from 1 species